CGCAGGGGGCCCGAUCCGAGCACUGCUGGGCUCUCGCAGCGCCGCCGCCGUCGGGCGCGCAGCUCUGCAGCGCGGCGAACGCCUCGGCGCGCCCGCAGCCCCCUGGAGCCCGGCGGCCCCGCAUUGUCCCUGGCCCCGUGGCCGAUAUCCGGGACGAGCGUCGGGGGGCAAGCCUUCGUGGCGGUCCUGAGAGUCGGGCCAGAAAGAAA
rnacentral:lncRNA from 1 species